ACGCCCCUUUGCUGUUAUAAAUUCACUGUAAAACCCUGGCUUCUUGGGGCUUAUUGCUUUAUUUUGAUAUUAAUGUUAAAUUAGUUUUAUGAAAUUAUAUAAAAAUAUUUUUAAUGUUUUAAUGGCAUGCAUGUGUGUGUGCGUGUUUGUGUGUGUGUUAGUGUAUAUAUAUAUAUAUAUAUAUAUAUAUAUAUAUAUAUAUAUAUAUAUAUAUAUCUUUGUCUCGACCCAAAGAUCUGUGGAGGGAGAGGUAAGGUUAAAGAAAAAAAAAAGGCAGAAAUACAAGGUUGGCGCGAUGACAUGCGCAGUGAAUUGGCGCGAGGACAUGCGCACUGGUUGUCAAGUGAAACGGGGCAUUCGCGGGCAGUGUGUCAAGGGAGAAAAGCCUGUAAUGCGAGCUGCGAGUUAAAAUUCAAUCCUGAGCUCUGUCAAAUAAAAGACAGUAAAGUUCCAGUUUAUGUGUAUGCCUGCAUUAUUUCGACGGACCCAUUUUCAAGAGACGGAAGUUUCCUCCUAUGGUCAACAGCCCCUCUUACAAUAUCAUAUGAAAUGAUAGCAAACGUAUAAAUAUAAACAAAAAAUUACUCAUUUCACUUUUAAGUAAACAUUAGCAAAUUAUGUUGGAGAAGCUAGUGUUAAACUUUAGCUGAGAGAACUAAAUGCUGGAUGCAGCUUUCUUAACUAAAGUUUAGCAGUAUAUUCUCCUGCUCCGUGAAAGCGCGCGAGUUUUUAAACUGCCUCCAUUCGGGAACGCUUCCGGCUGAGUAACGGCUGUAACGGCUGAACGCGGCCCGCGCGCCGCUCCUCUUCUCUUCCUCACCCACAAUCAGCGCCUUCAGUCCCGUCACAACACCUCUCCAGGCCCGUGAUGAUAGAAAGGUACAAUAUUGCAUCCGAGCUCGCUCAUAACGCUGGAUGGCCCGCUGGAGAGAGAUCCGCGGAAAUCCCCGCUGCCGCCUGUCCGUGUGUUUCUGCUUUAUUGCCGUUAUUCGGUAGUAAUUCAGACACCCGAGAAAUUCUAUUAGAGGUGAGAGGAAAAACAAAAUGUUCUGUCGCAAGGAUCCGGGGCUGCUGCUUAUUAGCUUUGUUUUGAUGUGAGAAACUACAGGCUGACAUUAUCACACGCUUCAGGACAUUUCAGCAGCUUAAUGCGGUGUUAUGCCGCUAUUAAUGGAGCAUAUAUGCCGCCGCGGCCUCUGUUCCUACACUAUAAUGCUAACACGCCAAAAUAAAUCAUAUAAAGUUAAUUUAGAACGGUAUUUUCCCGCUCUGUCUCCGUGUGAGAAGCAGACGUUACACGUCUUUUCUAAACCACUGCAAUUUGUCCAUUAAAAACUAAUGAGAUUACGGCAGGUUUUGUCUAUCAAAGGCGGCUAAUUGCUUAUGCUGGUGAGUCACCGCGCG
rnacentral:lncRNA from 1 species